CGAUAUCAGCGCUGCUUGUGGUAGAGGAAAAGGCGACAGGAGCUAACGUUAUGUGGCUAAACAAUGGAGGGAACUGCGGCGAGAGGAGAACCCGUGUGACCGCGGUCAGAGCAGAGAGAUGCAGGUGAAUAAUGGUGUCAGAGGAGAAGGAGCGAGAUGUGGCGUGGAAGGAGCUGCGCAGGAGGAAGAGGAUGGAGGAGGUGGAGGAGCUGACCACUGCGGGACACAACGCUCUGUAAUAGGGACAAACCCAGGAGGUGCUACCGUUUCAGAGGAUCAAAGGAGACUGAAGGCAGCCCGCCAGGUUUCCACGCAGCGGCUUAGGACUAAUUCUACAUCUGGACCUUAAGGACGGCUCUGAAGGACCAUGUGCACGGUGGGAAUGGAGCAUGGGACAGACCUUUGCCAAUCAAAGGAAACCGGUGGAGAGGGGUCACCUGCCAGCCCCAAGUAUUGGAGACAGUGAUGGCAGCCAAGGACUAAUGCCUCCUCUAUGAGGAGGUAAUCUACCUGCUGGACUCCCUGCUUCGGACAUUCCUACAGGGUGUGUAUGGCAUCACCACACCAUAUGAUGUGUUGACUGCAAGGGUGAAAGAACUCCUGGGACUUAUCAAAGCAAUUUUGAAAAAAACAAACAAAAAAAGGGGAUUGCCUGAUAUGUAAAUGAACUGUGGAAGUUGUUGAGAUUGUUUAAAUCACAUUGUGGCAUUGGAGUUUAUGCUGUGGCAAUAAGUACCAAAAACAGUCCAAAAGUCGGAUACAGGCAACAUGUUUGCAUUAACUUUUCCACAAGUUUAGGUUUUGACCAGAUUCUGGACUCUCUCGUAUUCAGACACUAAAACAAUAAAAUAUUUUUGCAGAAGUGCAUAAAAGCUCGAUCAAUAUGCACUUCCAGUGGUGCAGAAGUGACAUUCACCUCCGGGUUAAUGUAAUCUUUAUACAAUGUUUUACGUGAUAGCGUUUCAACCAAUGAGCAUCCAGAUUGACAAAUCAAGUAAUAAUACAUUUUAUUGUCACUGCAUACAUGUAAGAUGUUUGCUUUAAAUUGUUC
rnacentral:lncRNA from 1 species